rnacentral:rRNA from 1 species
GGGCCCGCACAAGCGGUGGAGCAUGUGGUUUAAUUCGAUGCAACGCGAAGAACCUUACCUGGUCUUGACAUACACAGAAUCUUGUAGAGAUACGAGAGUGCCUUCGGGAAUUGUGAUACAGGUGCUGCAUGGCUGUCGUCAGCUCGUGUCGUGAGAUGUUGGGUUAAGUCCCGCAACGAGCGCAACCCUUGUCCUUAGUUACCAGCACUUCGGGUGGGAACUCUAAGGAUACUGCCAGUGACAAACUGGAGGAAGGCGGGGACGACGUCAAGUCAUCAUGGCCCUUACACCCCUGGGCUACACACGUGCUACAAUGGGUGAGACAAUGAGAUGCAACUCUGCGAAGACAAGC